UUGUGGUUAAAAAGCUCGUAGUUGGAUCUCGGCGGACUGAGGGCGGUUUGCUUGCUAGUAUUACUGCCCUAUAGUCCGUAGUUUUGCCAGAGGUUUCGGGGUGCUCUUAAUCGAGUGUCCCGGGAUGCUGGCAGGUUUACUUUGAAAAAAUUAGAGUGCUCAAAGCAGGCUAUUACGCCUGAAUAUUCGUGCAUGGAAUAAUAGAAUAGGAAGUCGUUUCUAUUUUGUUGGUUUUCGGAAAUCGACUUAAUGAUUAAUAGGGACAGUCGGGGGCAUUUGUAUUCAAACGACAGAGGUGAAAUUCUUGGACCGUUUGAAGACAAACUACUGCGAAAGCAUUUGCCAAGAAUGUUUCCAUUAAUCAAGAACGAAAGUUAAAGGUUCGAAGGCGAUUAGAUACCGCCCUAGUUUUAACCAUAAACGAUGCCAGCUAGCGAUCUGCGGACGUUUUUUUUGUAGACUCCGCAGGAAGCUUCCGGGAAACCAAAGCAUUUGGGUUCCAGGGGAAGUAUGGUUGCAAAGCUGAAACUUAAAGGAAUUGACGGAAGGGCACCACCAGGAGUGGAGCCUGUGGCUUAAUUUGACUCAACACGGGAAAUCUCACCAGGCCCCGACACUGGAAGGAUUGACAGAUUGAUAGCUCU
rnacentral:rRNA from 1 species